rnacentral:rRNA from 1 species
UAUUGCAGCCAUACCAUUCCAUCAGUGAACUUGCCAGGAUUCAAAACUUGGCAGCAUAGGGCCUGGUCAGUACUUGGAUGGGAGACCUCAAAAGAAAACCCAGAGUUCUGCAGAAA